rnacentral:rRNA from 1 species
UACGUAGGGAGCAAGCGUUGUCCGGAAUCAUUGGGCGUAAAGCGCGCGUAGGUGGCUUCGUAAGUCCGCUGUGAAAGUCCAGGGCUCAACCCUGGAAUGCCGGUGGAUACUGUCGGGCUCGAAUCCGGAAGAGGUGAGUGGAAUUCCUGGUGUAGCGGUGAAAUGCGCAGAUAUCAGGAGGAACACCAAUGGCGAAGGCAGCUCACUGGGACGGUAUUGACGCUGAGACGCGAAAGCGUGGGGAGCAAACAGG